rnacentral:rRNA from 1 species
CUACGGGGUGCUCCAGUGGGGAAUAUUGCACAAUGGGCGCAAGCCUGGUGCAGCCAUGCCGCGUGUAUGAAGAAGGCCUUCGGGUUGUAAAGUACUUUCAGCGGGGAGGAAGGGAGUAAAGUUAAUACCUUUGCUCAUUGACGUUACCCGCAGAAGAAGCACCGGCUAACUCCGUGCCAGCAGCCGCGGUAAUACGGAGGGUGCAAGCGUUAAUCGAAAUUACUGGGCGUAAAGCGCACGCAGGCGGUUUGUUAAGUCAGAUGUGAAAUCCCCGGGCUCAACCUGGGAACUGCAUCUGAUACUGGCAAGCUUGAGUCUCGUAGAGGGGGGUAGAAUUCCAGGUGUAGCGGUGAAAUGCGUAGAGAUCUGGAGGAAUACCGGUGGCGAAGGCGGCCCCCUGGACGAAGACUGACGCUCAGGUGCGAAAGCGUGGGGAGCAAACAGGAUUAGAUACCCCUGUAGUC